AUGAACGCUGGCGGCGUGCCUAAUACAUGCAAGUCGAGCGAACAGACGAGGAGCUUGCUCCUCUGACGUUAGCGGCGGACGGGUGAGUAACACGUGGAUAACCUACCUAUAAGACUGGGAUAACUUCGGGAAACCGGAGCUAAUACCGGAUAAUAUAUUGAACCGCAUGGUUCAAUAGUGAAAGACGGUUUUGCUGUCACUUAUAGAUGGAUCCGCGCCGCAUUAGCUAGUUGGUAAGGUAACGGCUUACCAAGGCAACGAUGCGUAGCCGACCUGAGAGGGUGAUCGGCCACACUGGAACUGAGACACGGUCCAGACUCCUACGGGAGGCAGCAGUAGGGAAUCUUCCGCAAUGGGCGAAAGCCUGACGGAGCAACGCUGCGUGAGUGAUGAAGGUCUUCGGAUCGUAAAACUCUGUUAUUAGGGAAGAACAAAUGUGUAAGUAACUAUGCACGUCUUGACGGUACCUAAUCAGAAAGCCACGGCUAACUACGUG
rnacentral:rRNA from 1 species